rnacentral:rRNA from 1 species
GAUGAACGCUGGCGGCGUGCCUAAUACAUGCAAGUCGAGCGAACGGACGAGAAGCUUGCUUCUCUGAUGUUAGCGGCGGACGGGUGAGUAACACGUGGAUAACCUACCUAUAAGACUGGGAUAACUUCGGGAAACCGGAGCUAAUACCGGAUAAUAUUUUGAACCGCAUGGUUCAAAAGUGAAAGACGGUCUUGCUGUCACUUAUAGAUGGAUCCGCGCUGCAUUAGCUAGUUGGUAAGGUAACGGCUUACCAAGGCAACGAUGCAUAGCCGACCUGAGAGGGUGAUCGGCCACACUGGAACUGGGACACGGUCCCGACUCCUACGGGAGGGCGCAGUAUGGAAUGUUCCGCAAUGGGCGAAAGCCUUGCGGAGCAACGCCGCGUGAGUGAUGAAGGUCUUCGGAUCGUAAAACUCUGUUAUUAGGGAAGAACAUAUGUGUAAGUAACUGUGCACAUCUUGACGGUACCUAAUCAGAAAGCCACGGCUAACUACGUG